UACGGAGGAUGCAAGCGUUAUCCGGAAUGAUUGGGCGUAAAGCGUCCGCAGGUGGCUGUGUAAGUCUGCUGUUAAAGAGUGAGGCUCAACCUCAUAAAAGCAGUGGAAACUACACAGCUAGAGUGCGUUCGGGGCAGAGGGAAUUCCUGGUGUAGCGGUGAAAUGCGUAGAGAUCAGGAAGAACACCGGUGGCGAAGGCGCUCUGCUAGGCCGGAACUGACACUGAGGGACGAAAGCUAGGGGAGCGAAUGGG
rnacentral:rRNA from 1 species